rnacentral:rRNA from 1 species
UACAGAGGUCCCAAGCGUUGUUCGGAUUCACUGGGCGUAAAGGGUGCGUAGGUGGUGAGGUAAGUUUGAUGUGAAAUCUCCGGGCUUAACCCGGAAAUGGCAUUGAAUACUAUCUUGCUAGAGGAGUGGAGGGGGGACUGGAAUACUUGGUGUAGCAGUGAAAUGCGUAGAUAUCAAGUGGAACACCAGUGGCGAAGGCGAGUCCCUGGACACUUCCUGACACUGAGGCACGAAAGCUAGGGGAGCAAACAGG